AUUGAACGCUGGCGGCAUGCCUUACACAUGCAAGUCGAACGGUAACGCGGGGCAACCUGGCGACGAGUGGCGAACGGGUGAGUAAUGCAUCGGAACGUGCCCAGUAGUGGGGGAUAACUGCUCGAAAGAGCAGCUAAUACCGCAUACGACCUGAGGGUGAAAUCGGGGGAUCGCAAGACCCCGUGAUAUUGGAGCGGCCGAUGUCAGAUUAGGUAGUUGGUGGGUAAAGGCCCACCAAGCCAACGAUCUGUAGCUGGUCUGAGAGGACGACCAGCCACACUGGGACUGAGACACGGCCCAGACUCCUACGGGAGGCAGCAGUGGGGAAUUUUGGACAAUGGACGCAAGUCUGAUCCAGCCAUGCCGCGUGCGGGAAGAAGGCCUUCGGGUUGUAAACCGCUUUUGUCAGGGAAGAAACGCUCUGGGUUAAUACCUCGGGGUAAUGACGGUACCUGAAGAAUAAGCACCGGCUAACUACGUGCCAGCAGCCGCAGUAACAC
rnacentral:rRNA from 1 species